GGCAGCUACUCUUCAUCUCCUGAGUGAAGCUUUCCACAUUUCUCCGAAAGGCUUGAGAUGACUAUUUUGUCCCCUUUGUUUCCAAGUUCAGAAGGAGGAACAGGUUCAUCUGCUUCAUAUUCUUCAAAAGAGCUAAUCACAAAAUCUGAGUUGGGAAGGAACUCAAUGGCCACCUAGCCCCUCUACCUGAACAGAAUCCUCUGUACAACACAUUUGACAAGUGGUUAUCCAGCCUUUGCUUGAAGAUCUUCAAUGAGGAGGAAACAGACUACCUUCUGAAACGUCCUAUUUCAUUUAUGGACACUGUUGUUGUUUGCAAGUUUUCCCUUACCUCAAGAAUAAAUCUGCCUUUUAAAAAUUUA